AUGCACACACAGUCACACACACAUUCACACUCACCAUUCACAUGCACAUUCACACCUAUUCAUACACAAUUGCACACACGUUCACACCAUUCACACACACAUCAUACAUUCACUGACCCAUUCACACACAUUCACACAUUUCCUCACACUCCCACAUUCACACACAUUCACAUUUGCCCAUUCACCACAUUCACACUCACAUUUCCACACAUACAUUCAUGCAUUUACAAUCAUGCAUACACAUUCACACACAUUCACAUUCAUUCACACAUUUACACUCACAUUCACACACAUUCACAUUUGCCCAUUCACACAUUCACACUCACAUUUAUACACAUACAUUCAUGCAUUUACAAUUAUACACACAUUCACGCACAUUCACCAUUCACACAUUUACACACACAUCACACACAUUCACACACACAUUUACACACAUACAUUCAUGCAUUUACAAUCAUACAUACACAUUCACACACAUUCACCAUUCACACAUUUACACACACAUCACACAUUCACAUUCACCAUUCAUUCACACAUUUACUCACAUUCACACACAAAUUUACACUCAUACAUUCAUGCAUUUACAAUCAUACAUACACAUUCACGCACAUUCACCAUUCACACACUCACAUUCACACAUUCACAUUCACCAUUCAUUCACACAUUUACACUCACACAUUCACAUUUGCCCAUUCACACAUUCACACUCACACAUUUACACACAUAUAUUCAUGCAUUUACAGUCAUACAUACACAUUCACACACAUUCACCAUUCACACAUUUACACUCACACAUUCACACAUUCACAUUCACCAUUCAUUUACACUCACACAUUCACACAUUCAUACUGCCCAUUCACACUCACAAAUUUACACACAUAUAUUCACACAUUUACACUCAUACACUCACACAUUCACUCACGUUCACAUUCACCAUUCUUUCACAGAAUGGUGGCUAGGCCAAGGCUGCCCCUGCAGCUGGACUGUGCCUGGGGCCUACCCGGGGCUCUGUUAUUUCCUGCUGUGUCAUUUCCAGACUUAUAA
rnacentral:lncRNA from 13 species